GCUACACACGUGCUACAAUGGCUGGUACAGAGAGAUGCAAUACCGUGAGGUGGAGCCAAACUUUAAAACCAGUCU
rnacentral:tRNA from 1 species